AACACUUUCAUCGAUUGAUGGCGAUUAUAUAUUCUUAUAAUCGAAUUGUUAAAGCUCUCUAUCUUUGUAUAUAACUGUAUUUUUGCUGACUUUUUUUUUUAAAUUUUACAACUAUAUAUAAUUGUAAAAAUCUUUACUGCCUUCAAUACUAUAUAAUCAUUUUUAAGUUAAAAUUUUGAGGGGUUGAGGUUUAGAUGGAUUCAUUAACACUUUAGUGGGGAAUUUUCUAUAACUCUUUUGAGUUGCAUAAGUAUCAGAAAAAUCUUAGACACCAUUUAUGAAAAGUUCCAUCUAAAAUUAGUACUCAUGGAACUGGUGAAUGUAGCUCCAUAUCCGACUCGUAUAUCUAAGAUUGAAGGGUUUUGUCGUUUUGGUGUGAGAAUUAGAUUGUAAAUCAAAAUAUUAGUCUCGACUACGAUCGAUAUGUAGUAAUGUAGCUCCAUAUCCGACUCUAGAACAUAUAUAAUAUCAACUAGAGCUUGAGCGCGGAUGUUGGUUUUUAAAUUUUUAUAAAUUAUUUAUUGGCAUUUUAAGCAUACAGAUAUAGGUUGUUUGAAUAUUUUUACGUUCCUACAAACCUAUUUAGAUUCAGAAGACUCCGACUCGAAUCCCAUUCAAAAUUUUAUAAUAUCCGAACAUAGUUUUAUUUUAAAAUCCAAAAACACGAUAUUCAAAAACUGAUAUGAAUCUGAACGUGUAUUUGAAUGCCCAUGUUUAACUGAUUAUGUAAAGAAAUAUAAAAUUCUUUGUUAACCGAUUUAAAAUUUUGUCACUAAUGAACAAUUUCAUUUAAAGAUGUGAAAUUAUUAUGGUUAAGACGUAAAACAAAUGAUGUCAAAUUAUUAUGGUAAAUCUAUAAUAUAAUCUAUAAUAUAAUGAGGCAGUUGCAUCAUUCAUGAGGCGACACGUCAGCGGUCUGUGGGUCCCACUUUUAAAAAGUGUGAAAAAAUGUCAAGAUUGUGGCUCAAACCCGGGUUAUUGAGAUAUAAACACCACCAUUUAUACCACUAAACUAAAGGAUACUUUGUACAUUGAUGGCCGAAACUAAUAUAUAUUUAUGAUAGGAGAGUUUACUCUGUACACGUAUGAUUUCGGUUUAAGUUCCAUAAAAAGCCCAAGUCGGGUGUAAGGCCAUUUGGCCAAUGUUUAGUUAUAUGGCCUAUUUUGAAAAAAAGGUCUGACGUUUUAUGUUUUUGUCGAGGAAAAUGUGUCAUUUUUUAUUCGUUAAACGAGUAACGAUUAGGUUUUCAGAGGUUUCUUCUUCUUCGACCCUUCAAUCUCACCAGCCCUGCUGAUUUUCCUAAUCCUGUGAAAAAACGAGUCUUAAUCAACUCAUUACCUUCCAACUCUUUUCAUAUCUAUUAAAUUCUUUUCACUGUAUUCAACGUAUACCUCUUAAAUUUUACAAUAAAUGUUUUUUUUUCAUUAAAGCCAUUUACGAUCUUAAACUCUCCUUCUCCCUUGUGAUACAAUGAAACAGAAAAAUUCACUUCAACCCCUAUAAAUUGGAGAAGGUUGAUAGCCGGAUGGAUCUUCACAGACGCUCUCAGUUUAUCUUCUAUCUUCAAUUGGAGAGGGAGCUGCUCAUCCUCGACGAACAAGCAUGAUUGAUUUUUUCUGCAAUUUCCUUCCUACGAAGCCCAAAGAGAUCUAUCGAGUUGCUGAUCUGCGUUAACCAUUUGAUGAAUUCCAUCCCGAAUGAUCCCAAAACAAUCAACGUCUACCUCAAAACACCAGAUGAUGAGUAAACAGCGCCCAAUAGACCUCCACAACCUGAUGUAGAUGAUUGGAGGCCGCUGAAGAAGAAGAAGCCUGCAACAAUGUCAGAGGAUGCUAAAGCAUUGAGCAUGAUUAGACAAAUGUUCAAGCACUGCUUCUAACUUUUCUCCUACGCUCACACCCAUUACAUUUUCAUUAGUUUUUUUCUCCUGAACUUAUGAGUUUUGUAUUGUUUUAAUGUCAGUACUGAUCGUUAUGUUGGACAUGGCUAUGAUAACCGAGACCUGGAAGCCUGCUUUGACGAUAUCAUGAAGGAAGAGAGACGAAGUGCGAGAAUCGCAAGGGAUGAAGAUGAAAUGGAAGCAAAGCUGAUCGCAGAAGAAGAAGAGCGAGAGAGACAGAGAAAGUUGCUGAAGCUGAGGCGUAAGAAAGUUAGAAGAAACAAACCUUUUGAUCAUCUUUGUCUUCUUUUUUAAAUAUAUGACAAGUUUAAUCUUUAGUGUUUCUCUCAUUCAUAUCUCUUUGGAGAAUAGUGUGUUCUUGAAACUGUACAAUUAGAUAAUAAUUAUAUUUAUUGGGUCACUCGAGGAAUCUGUUGGUGACCUUCCAAGUUGGUGAAAGCCUGAUUAUUUUCUCUGUGUAAAACCAGAGAAUGAAAAGAGAAAAGAAUAUAUCUUUAUUCACGUUGGAGUUGCUUUAGUUUCACUUUCUUACAAGUCCAUGAACAUUAUUUUUGUGUUUCUUUUAUAAUCUUUUCCUCUCAAAGAUCUUUGUUUAAGGUAUCAAAUGGUGACCAAAGAAGAGGAUUGUCUUCCUCCUGCGACAGAGCCGUUGAGAUGUUAUUUUCCUUCUUCUACGACUUCUCUUGCGGAGCUAGAGACUAUUCAAAGCUUAGAAAUCGUGGAACCAUCAUUUCUCUCUCCCACUUGGUAUAUCAUUAUUCUUUACUUACUCUUCAAUUUUGAGCUCUUCCCUUCACCACAAUCUAGAGAUAGUUGAAACCUUUUGCUAUGGUCUGACUGUAUCUUUCAGUUCAAUACGUUAUAAAAGUUACUCUUUUGGUUUAGUUUAGGUUGGACAUUCAAACAGAUUCUUAUAGCUUUGCUCGAUCAUUUAUGUACUCUAGUUUGAUUUUUUUUUUCCAGGUUGCUGGUGACUUUUUGCAUCUAGAAAUUAAAACUUUUUGUUUAGUUUACGGUGUGGUUCUUAUAUAUUCUUCUCUAUAUUGCGUACUGCUUUGUUAUUUUUAUAAAUGAUCUCCAUUAAAAAAAGGUUUAUGUUUACAUGAACAAGAUGAAUCAGGUAAAAGACUAUUUUCCAUGUUUCUAAAACACUGCGAGAGGCAAUCAUACGCCGAGAAACAGGUCAAUGGAAUAUAGCAAGCUUAAGGCUAGGGUUGAUCUUUUGGAGAGGAACCAAAGGCAUUAUGUGGGAAAAUAUUUAGAAUCAAUUGCGCAAGGGAACUCCAGACUCUAGAGUAACAGCUGGACACUUCUCUUAAACAUAUUUGCUCCAGAAUAGUAUAUAUGUAUAUCUUUCUUAUGGGCACAUACACACAUACACACAUCUCUGUAAGAUAUUUGAAUUUGUGCACAUAUAAAUAUAUGCCUAACUAUUGUAAGUGAUUUAGAAAGAUUCUUCUUCAUCAUGAAAACAAUGGUUAUAGAUCA